UAGGGAAUAUUGCAAAAUGGGCGAAAGCCCGAUGCAGCAACGCCGCGUGGGCGAUGAAGGCCUUCGGGUCGUAAAGCCCUUUUUGAGGGGAUGAGGAAGGACAGUACCCUCAGAAUAAGCCUCGGCUAACUACGUGCCAGCAGCCGCGGUAAAACGUAGGAGGCGAGCGUUAUCCGGAUUUACUGGGCGUAAAGCGCGUGCAGGCGGAUUGGAGAGUUGGAUGUGAAAGCUCCCGGCUUAACUGGGAGAGGUCGUUCAAUACUUCCAGUCUUGAGUGCAGUAGAGGGAAGUGGAAUUCCGGGUGUAGUGGUGAAAUGCGUAGAUAUCCGGAGGAACACCAGUGGCGAAAGCGGCUUCCUGGACUGUAACUGACGCUCAGACGCGAAAGCUAGGGU
rnacentral:rRNA from 1 species